rnacentral:rRNA from 1 species
UACGAAGGGGGGCUAGCGUUGCUCGGAAUCACUGGGCGUAAAGGGUGCGUAGGCGGGUCUUUUAAGUCAGGGGUGAAAUCCUGGAGCUCAACUCCAGAACUGCCUUUGAUACUGAGGAUCUUGAGUUCGGGAGAGGUGAGUGGAACUGCGAGUGUAGAGGUGAAAUUCGUAGAUAUUCGCAAGAACACCAGUGGCGAAGGCGGCUCACUGGCCCGAUACUGACGCUGAGGCACGAAAGCGUGGGGGAGCAAACAGGAUUAGA